GUCACGGAGGAAAAGCCUUGGGCGCGGCCCGGGCUGUCAGACCCACGAGGUUCCGAGCAAGUGACAGCAGCAGAAUUGCCAAAUCCGGACCAUCGUCAUUCCCUGUUUAAUUCGGAAUUGGAAGCUUUCCCGUUAGGGAACUCUUUCAUCGGCUUCCUGUGCUGCACUCUCGGGUCAGUCUGGGCGUCCCCUCAGCUCCGAUGGCCCUGUCCUGUAUACACAUCUGCUACAACUGUUCCACAACUGUAAAUAACUCUCACCCAUUCCCUCUUCCUAAAAUCAAUAAACAUAUCCUAUGGUGGAGAUUAAAAA